rnacentral:rRNA from 1 species
CCUACGGGAGGCUGCAGUGGGGGAUAUUGCACAAUGGGGGGAACCCUGAUGCAGCGACGCCGCGUGGGUGAAGAAGCGCCUCGGCGCGUAAAGCCCUGUCAGCAGGGAAGAAAAUGACGGUACCUGAAGAAGAAGCCCCGGCUAACGACGUGCCAGCAGCCGCGGUAAUACGUAGGGGGCAAGCGUUUUCCGGAUUUACUGGGUGUAAAGGGGGCGCAGACGGGGAUGCAAGCCAGGAGUGAAAGCCCGGGGCCCAACCCCGGGACUGCUCUUGGAACUGCGGGGCUAGAGUGCAGGAGGGGCAGGCGGAAUUCCUGGUGUAGCGGUGAAAUGCGUAGAUAUCAGGAGGAACACCGGUGGCGAAGGCGGCCUGCUGGACUGCAACUGACGUUGAGGCCCGAAAGCGUGGGGAGCAAACAGGAUUAGAUACCCUGGUAGUC